UCCAGGGUAGCCUAGUGGACAUGGCAUCUGCCCGGUAAGCGGAACACUGUGGGUUCGAUUCCCAUCCCUGGUC